rnacentral:rRNA from 1 species
AUACGGAGGAUCCGAGCGUUAUCCGGAUUUAUUGGGUUUAAAGGGUGCGCAGGCGGCCAUUUAAGUCAGCGGUUAAAUCUUGGGGCUCAACCCCAUUCUGCCGUUGAUACUGGGUGGCUUGAUUGCGGUCGAGGUUGGCGGAAUUCGUUGUGGAGCGGUGAAAUGCAUAGAUAUGACGAAGAACACCGAUUGCGUAGGCAGCUGACCAGACCGCAAAUGACGCUCAUGCACGAAAGUGCGGGGAUCGAACAGGAUUAGAUACCCUGGUAGUCCGCACAGUAAACGAUGAAUACUUGUUUUCGGCGAUAUAAUGUCGGAGGCAAAGCGAAAGCGAUAAGUAUUCCACCUGGGGAGUACGCCGGCAACGGUGAAACUCAAAGGAAUUGACGGGG